rnacentral:rRNA from 1 species
AGAGUUUGAUCCUGGCUCAGGACGAACGCUGGCGGCGUGCUUAACACAUGCAAGUCGAACGAUGAAGCCCUUCGGGGUGGAUUAGUGGCGAACGGGUGAGUAACACGUGGGCAAUCUGCCCUUCACUCUGGGACAAGCCCUGGAAACGGGGUCUAAUACCGGAUAACACUCCUGCCCGCAUGGGUGGGGGUUAAAAGCUCCGGCGGUGAAGGAUGAGCCCGCGGCCUAUCAGCUUGUUGGUGAGGUAGUGGCUCACCAAGGCGACGACGGGUAGCCGGCCUGAGAGGGCGACCGGCCACACUGGGACUGAGACACGGCCCAGACUCCUACGGGAGGCAGCAGUGGGGAAUAUUGCACAAUGGGCGAAAGCCUGAUGCAGCGACGCCGCGUGAGGGAUGACGGCCUUCGGGUUGUAAACCUCUUUCAGCAGGGAAGAAGCGAAAGUGACGGUACCUGCAGAAGAAGCGCCGGCUAACUACGUGCCAGCAGCCGCGGUA